CCUACGGGUGGCAGCAGUGGGGAAUAUUGCACAAUGGGGGAAACCCUGAUGCAGCGACGCCGCGUGAGUGAAGAAGUAAUUCGUUAUGGAAAGCUCUAUCAGCAGGGAAGUAAAUGACGGUACCUGAGUAAGAAUCCCCGGCUAACUACGUGCCCGCAGCCGCGGUAAUACGUAGGGGGCCAGCGUUAUCCGGAUUUACUGGGUGUAAAGGGGGCGUAGACGGCAGUGCAAGUCUGGAGUGAAAGGCGGGGGCUCAACCCCAGGACUGCAGUGGAAACUGUAAGGCUGGAGUGCAGGAGAGGUAAGUGGAAUUCCUAGUGUAGCGGUGAAAUGCGUAGAUAUUAGGAGGAACACCAGUGGCGAAGGCGGCUUACUGGACUGUAACUGACGUUGAGGCUCGAAAGCGUGGGGAGCAAACAGGAUUAGAUACCCCAGUAGUC
rnacentral:rRNA from 1 species